UACGGAGGGUGCGAGCGUUAUCCGGAUUCACUGGGUUUAAAGGGUGCGUAGGUGGGCAGGUAAGUCCGUGGUGAAAUCUCUGAGCUUAACUCAGAAACUGCCGUGGAUACUAUUUGUCUUGAAUGUUGUGGAGGUGAGCGGAAUAUGUCAUGUAGCGGUGAAAUGCUUAGAUAUGACAUAGAACACCAAUUGCGAAGGCAGCUCACUACACAAUUAUUGACGCUGAGGCACGAAAGCGUGGGGAUCAAACAGG
rnacentral:rRNA from 1 species